rnacentral:rRNA from 1 species
GCUUAGAAGCAGCCACUCAUUAAAAGAGUGCGUAAUAGCUCACUGGUCGAGUGACUCUGCGCCGAAAAUUUAACGGGGCUAAACUAUACACCGAAGCUUGGGAUACAUCUAAUGUAUGGUAGGAGAGCGUUCUGUAUGGGGAGAAGUCGUAGCGAAAGCGGCGGUGGACUAUACAGAAGUGAGAAUGCCGGAAUAAGUAGCGAGAAUUAAGUGAGAAUCUUAAUGGCCGAAAGUCUAAGGUUUUUGGAGGAAGGUUCGUCCGCUCCAAGUAAGUCGGGAGCUAAGGUCAGGCCGAAAGGCGUAGCCGAUGCACAUACGGUUGAUAUUCCGUAACCAUCUGUAAUUUAAGCAAAGGGACACUUCAAAAGGGUGUGACCCGGGCGUUGGUUGACCCGGGCGUAAGGGACCGAAAUCAGAGUAGGGAAGCACACUUAGCUGAAGGCGAGAAAAGCUUUGCGUAUAGAAACAGAUGCCCGUACCGCAAACCGACACAGGUGGACAGGAAGAGAAUUCUAAGGCCAGCGGGAGAAGGGUAGUUAAGGAACUCGGCAAAUUGACUCCGUAACUUCGGAAUAAGGAGUGCUCGAAAGAGCCGCAGAGAAUAGGCCCAGGCGACUGUUUAGCAAAAACACAGGUCUCUGCCAAAUCGAAAGAUGAAGUAUAGGGGCUGACACCUGCCCGGUGCCGGAAGGUUAAGAGGAGGAGUGAGAGCUCCGAAUUGAAGCCCCGGUAAACGGCGGCCGUAACUAUAACGGUCCUAAGGUAGCGAAAUUCCUUGUCGGGUAAGUUCCGACCCGCACGAAUGGUGUAAUGAUCUGGACACUGUCUCAACAACGCACCCGGCGAAAUUGUAGUACCGGUGAAGAUGCCGGUUACCCGCGGCAAGACGGAAAGACCCCAUGGAGCUUUACUGUAACUUAAUAUUGGGUCUCGGUACUUUAUGUACAGGAUAGGCGGGAGACUUGGAAACUAGCACGCCAGUGUUAGCGGAGUCAUCCUUGGGAUACCGCUCUUAAGGUAUUGAGAUUCUAACCUGCAGCCUUGAAUCAGGUUGGGGGACAUUGUUAGGUGGGCAGUUUGACUGGGGCGGUCGCCUCCAAAAGAGUAACGGAGGCGUUCAAAGGUUGGCUCAGCAUGGACGGAAACCAUGCUUUAGAGUAUAAACGCAUAAGCCAGCCUAACUGCGAGACUGACGGGUCGAGCAGUAACGAAAGUUGGAGUUAGUGAUC